UGCCACAGCCAUAUCACCUUGCAGCCCAAGAACGGUUACUCACUGAAUCUAAACAUGGCUGUGUCUUGCCAGUACCUGAAUGGGAGACCACAUUGGAAAACAAGGCUGCUGUUGGAA
ensembl:rRNA 5S_rRNA 5S ribosomal RNA